rnacentral:rRNA from 1 species
UACGGAGGGUGCAAGCGUUAUCCGGAUUCACUGGGUUUAAAGGGUGCGUAGGCGGGCAGGUAAGUCAGAGGUGAAAUCUCCGGGCUUAACCCGGAAACUGCCUUUGAUACUAUCUGUCUUGAAUAUGGUGGAGGUAAGCGGAAUAUGUCAUGUAGCGGUGAAAUGCUUAGAUAUGGCAUAGAACACCCAUUGCGAAGGCAGCUUACUACGCCUAUAUUGACGCUGAGGCACGAAAGCGUGGGGAUCAAACAGG